rnacentral:lncRNA from 1 species
ACAUAUCAACAUAAAGUAAUUUUUUACAUUUGGGACGGUUAUGGGUAUGGGUUCGGGGUGGGUACCUAUAUACCCGUUACCCGUUCCAUACCCGUGUUUUGAAAUCGGGGAAAACCCAUACCCAUACCCAAACCCAGUCAAAACGGGGAAAACCCGUCAAAUUGGGUUUGGUUCGGGCGGGUAACCGCGGGUAUGGGUUUUGUUGCCAUGCCU